rnacentral:rRNA from 1 species
UACGUAGGUGGCAAGCGUUGUCCGGAUUUACUGGGCGUAAAGAGCGCGCAGGCGGCUGGUCAAGUCCGAUGUGAAAUCUCCCGGCUCAACUGGGAAACUGCAUCGGAAACUGAUCGGCUUGAAGGUGGGAGAGGGUAGUGGAAUUCCCGGUGUAGUGGUGAAAUGCGUAGAUAUCAGGAGGAACACCUGUGGUGUAGACAGCGUACUGGACGAUAACUGACGCUGAGGCACGAAAGCGUGGUAGCAAACAGG